rnacentral:rRNA from 1 species
UACUCGAGUGGCGAACGGGUGAGUAACACGUGGGUGAUCUGCCCUGCACUUCUGGAUAAGCUUUGGAAACUGGGUCUAAUACCGGAUAGGAACCAUCUUUAGUGUGGUGGUUGGAAAGUUUUUUCGGUGUAGGAUGAGCUCGCGGCCUAUCAGCUUGUUGGUGGGGUAAUGGCCUACCAAGGCGGCGACGGGUAGCCGGCCUGAGAGGGUGUACGGCCACAUUGGGACUGAGAUACGGCCCAG